rnacentral:rRNA from 1 species
UACAGAGGUGGCAAGCGUUGUUCGGAAUUACUGGGCGUAAAGGGCGCGUAGGCGGCUUGGUCAGUCCCGUGUGAAAUCCCUCGGCUCAACUGAGGAACUGCACGGGAAACUGCCUGGCUUGAGUUCGGGAGAGGGAAGCGGAAUUCCGGGUGUAGCGGUGAAAUGCGUAGAUAUCCGGAGGAACACCGGUGGCGAAGGCGGCUUCCUGGACCGACACCGACGCUGAGGCGCGAAAGCUAGGGGAGCAAACGGG